GUCCGCACAGUAAACGAUGAAUACUAACUGUUUGCGAUACACAGCAAGUGGUACAGUGAAAACGUUAAGUAUUCCACCUGGGGAGUACGCCGGCAACGGUGAAACUCAAAGGAAUUGACGGGGGCCCGCACAAGCGGAGGAACAUGUGGUUUAAUUCGAUGAUACGCGAGGAACCUUACCCGGGCUUGAAUUGCAUUUGAAAGUCGUGGAAACAUGGCCGCUAGCAAUAGCAAAUGUGAAGGUGCUGCAUGGUUGUCGU
rnacentral:rRNA from 1 species